UACGGAGGGGGCUAGCGUUGUUCGGAAUUACUGGGCGUAAAGCGCACGUAGGCGGCUUUGUAAGUUAGAGGUGAAAGCCCGGAGCUCAACUCCGGAAUUGCCUUUAAGACUGCAUCGCUAGAAUUGUGGAGAGGUAAGUGGAAUUCCGAGUGUAGAGGUGAAAUUCGUAGAUAUUGGGAAGAACACCGGUGGCGAAGGCGGCGACCUGGUCCUUUACUGACGCUGAGGCGCGAAAGCGUGGGGAGCAAACAGG
rnacentral:rRNA from 1 species